GACGAACGCUGGCGGCGUGCUUAACACAUGCAAGUCGAACGGAAAGGCCCUGCUUGCAGGGUACUCGAGUGGCGAACGGGUGAGUAACACGUGGGUGAUCUGCCCUGCACUUCGGGAUAAGCCUGGGAAACUGGGUCUAAUACCGGAUAGGAGCCAUUUUUAGUGUGAUGGUUGGAAAGUUUUUUCGGUGUAGGAUGAGCUCGCGGCCUAUCAGCUUGUUGGUGGGGUAAUGGCCUACCAAGGCGGCGACGGGUAGCCGGCCUGAGAGGGUGGACGGCCACAUUGGGACUGAGAUACGGCCCAGACUCCUACGGGAGACAUCAGUGGGGAAUAUUGCACAAUGGGCGCAAGCCUGAUGCAGCGACGCCGCGUGGGGGAUGACGGCCUUCGGGUUGUAAACUCCUUUCGCUAGGGACGAAGCUUUUUGUGACGGUACCUAGAUAAGAAGCACCGGCUAACUACGUG
rnacentral:rRNA from 1 species